rnacentral:rRNA from 1 species
CAGUAACGCGUAGUCAACCUACCCUAUGGACGGGGAUAACCUCGGGAAACUGAGAAUAAUACCCGAUAGAACAUUAUACCUGGAAUGGUUUAUGUUUCAAAUAAUUUAUUGCCGUAGGAUGGGACUGCGGCCUAUCAGUUUGUUGGUGAGGUAAUGGCCCACCAAGACUAUUACAGGUACGGGCUCUGAGAGGAGUAGCCCGGAGAUGGGUACUGAGACACGGACCCAGGCCCUAUGGGGCGCAGCAGGCGAGAAAACUUUGCAAUGUGCGAAAGCACGACAAGGUUAAUCCGAGUGGUUUCUGCUAAAGGAACCUUUUGUCAGUCCUAGAAACACUGAUGAAUAAGGGGUGGGCAAGUUCUGGUGUCAGCCGCCGCGGUAAAACCAGCACCUCAAGUGGUCAGGAUGAUUAUUGGGCCUAAAGCAUCCGUAGCCUGCUUUGUUAGUUUUCGGUUAAAUCCAUACGCUUAACGUAUGGGCUGCCGGAAAUACUGCAAAGCUAGGGAGUGGGAGAGGUAGACGGUACUCGGUAGGAAGGGGUAAAAUCCUUUGAUCUAUUGAUGACCACCUGUGGCGAAGGCGGUCUACCAGAACACGUCCGACGGUGAGGGAUGAAAGCUGGGGGAGCAAACCGGAUUAGAUACCCGGGUAGUCCCAGCUGUAAACUAUGCAAACUCGGUGAUGCAUUGGCUUGAUGCCAAUGCAGUGCCGCAGGGAAGCCGUUAAGUUUGCCGCCUGGGAAGUACGUACGCAAGUAUGAAACUUAAAGGAAUUGGCGGGGGAGCACCACAAGGGGGGAAGCCUGCGGUUC